UACGGGGGGGGCAAGCGUUGUUCGGAAUGACUGGGCGUAAAGGGCACGUAGGCGGUGAAUCGGGUUGAAAGUGAAAGUCGCCAAAAACUGGCGGAAUGCUCUCGAAACCAAUUAACUUGAGUGAGACAGAGGAGAGUGGAAUUUCGUGUGUAGGGGUGAAAUCCGGAGAUCUACGAAGGAACGCCAAAAGCGAAGGCAGCUCUCUGGGUCCCUACCGACGCUGGGGUGCGAAAGCGUGGGGAGCAAACAGG
rnacentral:rRNA from 1 species